rnacentral:rRNA from 1 species
UACAGAGGGUGCGAGCGUUGUCCAGAAUCACUGGGCGUAAAGGGCGCGUAGGUGGUGGCUUAAGCGUGCGGUGAAAGCUCGGAGCUCAACUCCGAGUCGGCCGUGCGAACUGGGCUCACUGGAGCAUAGUAGAGGCAGGUGGAAUUCCGGGUGUAGCGGUGGAAUGCGUAGAGAUCCGGAAGAACACCGGUGGCGAAGGCGGCCUGCUGGGCUAUGGCUGACACUGAGGCGCGACAGCGUGGGGAGCAAACAGG